AUUGAACGCUGGCGGCAGGCCUAACACAUGCAAGUCGAGCGGAUGAAGGGAGCUUGCUCCUGGAUUCAGCGGCGGACGGGUGAGUAAUGCCUAGGAAUCUGCCUGGUAGUGGGGGAUAACGUCCGGAAACGGGCGCUAAUACCGCAUACGCCCUGAGGGAGAAAGUGGGGGAUCUUCGGACCUCACGCUAUCAGAUGAGCCUAGGUCGGAUUAGCUAGUUGGUGGGGUAAAGGCCUACCAAGGCGACGAUCCGUAACUGGUCUGAGAGGAUGAUCAGUCACACUGGAACUGAGACACGGUCCAGACUCCUACGGGAGGCAGCAGUGGGGAAUAUUGGACAAUGGGCGAAAGCCUGAUCCAGCCAUGCCGCGUGUGUGAAGAAGGUCUUCGGAUUGUAAAGCACUUUAAGUUGGGAGGAAGGGCAGUAAGUUAAUACCUUGCUGUUUUGACGCUACCAACAGAAUAAGCACCGGCUAACUUCGUG
rnacentral:rRNA from 1 species